AGAACGAACGCUGGCGGCAUGCCUAAUACAUGCAAGUCGAACGAACACUUCGGUGUUAGUGGCGCACGGGUGCGUAACGCGUGGGAAUCUGCCCUUGGGUUCGGAAUAACAGUUGGAAACGACUGCUAAUACCGGAUGAUAUCGAAAGAUCAAAGAUUUAUCGCCCAGGGAUGAGCCCGCGUAGGAUUAGCUAGUUGGUGAGGUAAAGGCUCACCAAGGCGACGAUCCUUAGCUGGUCUGAGAGGAUGAUCAGCCACACUGGGACUGAGACACCGGCCCAGCUACCGUACGGGAGGCAGCAGUAGGGAAUAUGGACAAGUGGGCGCAAGCCUGAUCCAGCAAUGCCGCGUGAGUGAUGAAGGCCGUUUAGGGUUGUAAAG
rnacentral:rRNA from 1 species